rnacentral:rRNA from 1 species
AGGACGAACGCUGGCGGCGUGCCUAACACAUGCAAGUCGAACGAGGUCCAACCGGUAGCAAUACUGGUGAAGAUCAAGUGGCGAACGGGUGAGUAGCACGUGAGCAACCUGCCCCGAAGACCGGGACAACACCGGGAAACCGGUGCUAAUACCGGAUACCCCCACCGAAUCGCAUGGUUUGGUGAGGAAAUGGAUUCCGCUUCGGGAGGGGCUCGCGGCCUAUCAGCUUGUUGGUGAGGUAACGGCUCACCAAGGCUUCGACGGGUAGCUGGUCUGAGAGGACGAUCAGCCACACUGGGACUGAGACACGGCCCAGACUCCUACGGGAGGCAGCAGUGGGGAAUCUUGCACAAUGGGCGAAAGCCUGAUGCAGCAACGCCGCGUGAGGGACGAAGGCUUUCUGAGUUGUAAACCUCUUUCAGCAGGGACGAUUGUGACGGUACCUGCAGAAGAAGCCCCGGCCAACUACGUGCCAGCAGCCGCGGU